rnacentral:tRNA from 1 species
GCCGUUAUAAUGGGAUUUGAUUACUUUUGCUAUGCGGUAAUACUAUAAAAUCCCUCGGAGUAACAUCCGUACCGGUUCAAGUCCGGUCAGCGGCACCA